UUAAGCGACUAAGCGUACACGGUGGAUGCCCUGGCAGUCAGAGGCGAUGAAGGACGUGCUAAUCUGCGAUAAGCGUCGGUAAGGUGAUAUGAACCGUUAUAACCGGCGAUUUCCGAAUGGGGAAACCCAGUGUGUUUCGACACACUAUCAUUAACUGAAUCCAUAGGUUAAUGAGGCGAACCGGGGGAACUGAAACAUCUAAGUACCCCGAGGAAAAGAAAUCAACCGAGAUUCCCCCAGUAGCGGCGAGCGAACGGGGAGCAGCCCAGAGCCUGAAUCAGUGUGUGUGUUAGUGGAAGCGUCUGGAAAGGCGCGCGAUACAGGGUGACAGCCCCGUACACAAAAAUGCACAUGCUGUGAGCUCGAUGAGUAGGGCGGGACACGUGGUAUCCUGUCUGAAUAUGGGGGGACCAUCCUCCAAGGCUAAAUACUCCUGACUGACCGAUAGUGAACCAGUACCGUGAGGGAAAGGCGAAAAGAACCCCGGCGAGGGGAGUGAAAAAGAACCUGAAACCGUGUACGUACAAGCAGUGGGAGCACGCUUAGGCGUGUGACUGCGUACCUUUUGUAUAAUGGGUCAGCGACUUAUAUUCUGUAGCAAGGUUAACCGAAUAGGGGAGCCGAAGGGAAACCGAGUCUUAACUGGGCGUUAAGUUGCAGGGUAUAGACCCGAAACCCGGUGAUCUAGCCAUGGGCAGGUUGAAGGUUGGGUAACACUAACUGGAGGACCGAACCGACUAAUGUUGAAAAAUUAGCGGAUGACUUGUGGCUGGGGGUGAAAGGCCAAUCAAACCGGGAGAUAGCUGGUUCUCCCCGAAAGCUAUUUAGGUAGCGCCUCGUGAAUUCAUCUCCGGGGGUAGAGCACUGUUUCGGCAAGGGGGUCAUCCCGACUUACCAACCCGAUGCAAACUGCGAAUACCGGAGAAUGUUAUCACGGGAGACACACGGCGGGUGCUAACGUCCGUCGUGAAGAGGGAAACAACCCAGACCGCCAGCUAAGGUCCCAAAGUCAUGGUUAAGUGGGAAACGAUGUGGGAAGGCCCAGACAGCCAGGAUGUUGGCUUAGAAGCAGCCAUCAUUUAAAGAAAGCGUAAUAGCUCACUGGUCGAGUCGGCCUGCGCGGAAGAUGUAACGGGGCUAAACCAUGCACCGAAGCUGCGGCAGCGACGCUGAUGCGUUGUUGGGUAGGGGAGCGUUCUGUAAGCCUGCGAAGGUGUGCUGUGAGGCAUGCUGGAGGUAUCAGAAGUGCGAAUGCUGACAUAAGUAACGAUAAAGCGGGUGAAAAGCCCGCUCGCCGGAAGACCAAGGGUUCCUGUCCAACGUUAAUCGGGGCAGGGUGAGUCGACCCCUAAGGCGAGGCCGAAAGGCGUAGUCGAUGGGAAACAGGUUAAUAUUCCUGUACUUGGUGUUACUGCGAAGGGGGGACGGAGAAGGCUAUGUUGGCCGGGCGACGGUUGUCCCGGUUUAAGCGUGUAGGCUGGUUUUCCAGGCAAAUCCGGAAAAUCAAGGCUGAGGCGUGAUGACGAGGCACUACGGUGCUGAAGCAACAAAUGCCCUGCUUCCAGGAAAAGCCUCUAAGCAUCAGGUAACAUCAAAUCGUACCCCAAACCGACACAGGUGGUCAGGUAGAGAAUACCAAGGCGCUUGAGAGAACUCGGGUGAAGGAACUAGGCAAAAUGGUGCCGUAACUUCGGGAGAAGGCACGCUGAUAUGUAGGUGAGGUCACUUGCGGAUGGAGCUGAAAUCAGUCGAAGAUACCAGCUGGCUGCAACUGUUUAUUAAAAACACAGCACUGUGCAAACACGAAAGUGGACGUAUACGGUGUGACGCCUGCCCGGUGCCGGAAGGUUAAUUGAUGGGGUCAGCGCAAGCGAAGCUCUUGAUCGAAGCCCCGGUAAACGGCGGCCGUAACUAUAACGGUCCUAAGGUAGCGAAAUUCCUUGUCGGGUAAGUUCCGACCUGCACGAAUGGCGUAAUGAUGGCCAGGCUGUCUCCACCCGAGACUCAGUGAAAUUGAACUCGCUGUGAAGAUGCAGUGUACCCGCGGCAAGACGGAAAGACCCCGUGAACCUUUACUAUAGCUUGACACUGAACAUUGAGCCUUGAUGUGUAGGAUAGGUGGGAGGCUUAGAAGUGUGGACGCCAGUCUGCAUGGAGCCGACCUUGAAAUACCACCCUUUAAUGUUUGAUGUUCUAACGUUGACCCGUAAUCCGGGUUGCGGACAGUGUCUGGUGGGUAGUUUGACUGGGGCGGUCUCCUCCUAAAGAGUAACGGAGGAGCACGAAGGUUGGCUAAUCCUGGUCGGACAUCAGGAGGUUAGUGCAAUGGCAUAAGCCAGCUUGACUGCGAGCGUGACGGCGCGAGCAGGUGCGAAAGCAGGUCAUAGUGAUCCGGUGGUUCUGAAUGGAAGGGCCAUCGCUCAACGGAUAAAAGGUACUCCGGGGAUAACAGGCUGAUACCGCCCAAGAGUUCAUAUCGACGGCGGUGUUUGGCACCUCGAUGUCGGCUCAUCACAUCCUGGGGCUGAAGUAGGUCCCAAGGGUAUGGCUGUUCGCCAUUUAAAGUGGUACGCGAGCUGGGUUUAGAACGUCGUGAGACAGUUCGGUCCCUAUCUGCCGUGGGCGCUGGAGAACUGAGGGGGGCUGCUCCUAGUACGAGAGGACCGGAGUGGACGCAUCACUGGUGUUCGGGUUGUCAUGCCAAUGGCACUGCCCGGUAGCUAAAUGCGGAAGAGAUAAGUGCUGAAAGCAUCUAAGCACGAAACUUGCCCCGAGAUGAGUUCUCCCUGACUCCUUGAGAGUCCUGAAGGAACGUUGAAGACGACGACGUUGAUAGGCCGGGUGUGUAAGCGCAGCGAUGCGUUGAGCUAACCGGUACUAAUGAACCGUGAGGCUUAACCUU
rnacentral:rRNA from 1 species